AAUUCUAACUAACUUGAACGAUGAUACUACGAAUUUGAAUAGGCCACUUGCUAAAUGGAAUGGAUUACAUUACUUGAUAUUCAAGACAAUCUAAAAUCACCCAUCAUACUUAUGAUAUACAUAGUGUUUAACGAAUAACAUUAUGGUAGCAAGACAUGAAAUAUUAUGCCAGCAAUCCUUCUAAUUAAACACAAAUGAACAGCUUCACUAAAAUACUACAAAUGUCCGGUUUUACUUAGACAAGCAUCUAUAUGAUUCUAAAAGAAUAUAUGAACUAUUACAGAUAUAAUUUUAAUAUUCAAUAUGCAAACUGAGGCAAAUCUUAAAGAAACAACUUCACUUUCUUCAUUUCUAUAUUCAUGCUUUGACUUUCAGCUUAUAGGGAGUCAGUGCAUUUAAUAUGUGUACCUGGUAUUUGGAGAGCGAAGGAAGAAAGUGAAAAUCAGUAAGAAGCAAACAACAGUAGCGCACACAACAACAACAAUAUAAGCACCACAGUAGAACAACCAGUAACAGUAGGAGUAGCAGAAAACCAACAACCAACCAACAACAACACAACCAAAAUUAUACCAAAACUUCAAAUCAUCAACCAGUAUAGAUCCAAGACUGUUUUAAAAUCAAGAAGACAAAGCUGAUACCAAAAAAUACCCUUGUAAACCAACCAAUGAAACCCCAUCAAAUCAGUAAACAAAGCUGAACCAAAAAAUACCACUCAGCUACUUGAAAUCAAUGGAACAAUAGGUGCUUUCGAUUUUCUGAAGGAUUCUAUUCCUUUAGAAUAAGAAAAGGAUUCAAAUCUUUCGAAACACUUAUUUUUUAAAGGAUUCAAAGACUCUCUAUUUUCCUCCUUUAAACUCUCUGAAAACUUCCUAGAAGAAAAGCUAGUGAAGAAGUAUUUCCCUUCUCUAUUUUUUGAACCCUCUCUCCACUGAAAAAAAAACCUGCUAAAAAAUUCUCUCUUCAGUUCACUCUUAAACUCUGUUUCUGAUGCUUAAAAUUUUUUCCCUAACUCACUCUGUUUGUGUCUAUUUAAUGACAAAAAACAGUCUAUUUUUUUCAGAUUACAACCCUUUUUCAGCAUGUAUUCCAUCCCAUGUGCAUCCCCUACCCUUUUAUCAUUAAGCCCUCUUUCCUUCUCAUUUUUACAACCUUACAGGCACUAGGCAUGGUGUCAUUUGCAUUUUCUUUUCAGUUUUUUUAUUCUAAAAACUCAUGUUAUUCCCUGAAUUUCCACUCAAAAGUCCUAAAGAAGUAUAUUCCCCUGACAGCCCCAUUCGUUUAUUAUUAAAUUGUUCUCAUUUCAUUAAACUAAAGAAAUAUGGCCAGGCUGAAUCAGGCGUGUCUGACAUCCCAUAUUGUUUCCACUCAAAUGUAACUAACAUAAAUUCAAAUAACAAAUAGAAAAACGAAUUAAAUGUUUCACUGAAGCAUACGGACCACCUGACAAUCACAUGGCAUCCAUUCAAACUUAGCAGUUUAAUUUAGUGAAUUGAAUCAAUAUCAAUCAAUUAAACCUAAAUUUAUCGACAGAUGGUACAGAUUUAUACAAAACUAAUAGCCAACUCAUGCCAUUUUAAACGAUCAAACAGUUACUCGAUGAUGACUCACUUAAGCAAUUCAAACCUUUGCUAGAAUUAAACAAAUUAAGCCAAUUCAAAUACUGACAAGCUAAUCUCAUACAAACAGAAACUUGGUUCAAUUACAGAAUCAAAACAGAAAUGAAAAAGGAGAAGAAGAAACAAUGAAAUUGAAACAAAAACCAAAAUAUAAAAAUAAAGGAAAAGAGAAUUGAAAACAAUAUCAGAAACUUAUGGCGGAUCAAACACGAACUUCCUUUCGCCUAUCUUUUUUUCCGAUUUGGAUUGAAACAGAGUUUAACCGUGUGUUUUCACCAUGAAAACACAUGACUUAAAUGCAAUUCAAACCAAACGAAUCCUCAUAGACCAAGUUCGGACUUCGAAUUAAAAUUAGGGGUUGCCUAUGAUUUAGUGUUCAAAGGGUUGGGGUGGUAUUCGAAGGGAAAUGGAGGUGGGUAUGGGAUGAGGGAAGCUUAGUGGUGAUGGGGUAUGGAUGUGGGGUCAAAGGGAGUCGGCGCCGCCACUAGGGUCUUGUGGCGUCGGCUAAGGUUCUUCAUUUUAAAUCAAGAUUCGAGGCGUUUGGGCUUGAUUCGAAGUAAAGUGAGCACGGGAGUGGAAUCAGGGGGUCGUGGGGGUCCGAUGGUGUGAGUUUGGUGGUCAUUGGAGGGGUAAUGUUUUCCGACUGAUCUUCGAUCUGAUAUUUGAAGGGCCUGGUUGGGAUUUGAAGGAUUCUGUUAGGGGGUUUGGGAAUGGGAGGUUACCGUGAGUCAGUUGUGUAAAAAUGGGGGGGAUUGGCGACCAUCCGCCACCGUGGGUGAUUUCUGGCAGGCGGUGAGAGACGAGGUCGUCUCUUAUCUGUUAGAGACGAGGGAAGGUGGGGUUUGGCUUGGGG
rnacentral:lncRNA from 1 species